AUUGAACGCUGGCGGCAUGCCUUACACAUGCAAGUCGAACGGCAGCACGGGGCAACCUGGUGGCGAGUGGCGAACGGGUGAGUAAUGCAUCGGAACGUACCUUUCAGUGGGGGAUAACGUAGCGAAAGUUACGCUAAUACCGCAUACUCUGUGAGCAGGAAAGCAGGGGAUCGCAAGACCUUGCGCCGAUUGAGCGGCCGAUGUCAGAUUAGCUAGUUGGUGGGGUAAAGGCUCACCAAGGCGACGAUCUGUAGCGGGUCUGAGAGGAGGAGCCGCCACACUGGAACUGAGACACGGUCCAGACUCCUACGGGAGGCAGCAGUGGGGAAUUUUGGACAAUGGGGGCAACCCUGAUCCAGCCAUGCCGCGUGAGUGAAGAAGGCCUUCGGGUUGUAAAGCUCUUUCGGCCGGGAAGAAAUCGCACGGGCUAAUACCCUGUGUGGAUGACGGUACCGGAAUAAGAAGCACCGGCUAACUACGUGCCAGCAGCCGCAGUAAUAC
rnacentral:rRNA from 1 species